AGCCAAACUAAUUUAUUUAAAUAAGGUUUUUAGUUCUAUUGCCUUACCAAUUUGCCAGAUGGAUCUAAUUAUCUAAAAUGUAUAUUAUCUAAUUUAAUUGCAGUGUUGCCAGACAACCACCUCUUUCAGAUCUACUUGCCACAUCUUGUGACGUUGUUCACAGAUGCACAUAAGCCCCAUUAAGGUGUACAGAAGGGUCUGCCUUUACUGUAGGCAACUCUCGGCCUUAUUAUCUCACAUAAUUGACCACUUUCACAAAAGUGGUGUUUAUUCUACUGGUAUAGGUUUCUACCAUAACCAUAUGUUGUAGCUCUGAAUGGUGGUUUCCAAUAGACAAUAACUAUUGUUUUAUCAUGCUGCAUUUUGUGGAUUUUAGGAGAAACCUGUGGUGCAGUUACAGUUGUCUCUGUGCAACCUGUAUGUUUACAAAACAUAAGUUCUGUUUCCUUGAGUAGUAAUUUCAAUAAAAGAAGAAGGACUCAUCUAUAAACAAAGUUAGGCUUCCAAACUCUGUGUGCAAGUAAUGCCAUUUACAGCCAUUGUUAUCCUGUUUAAAGAAGCUGCAUCUAAAGGCCAGAGUUAUGUCCUGCUGCAACAUCAAAAUGAUGUUAGAAAAUAAUUAUAUGCCAGCUAUAUGAAACGAGAAACUACAGGGAUAAACUUCCUGUCUGUCACGCAUAGUUUCAAACAUCUUCUAAAAGAGAAGGAAAGGGUUAUAGAUAUGUGACCCUGCAUAACAAAUCCUGCAGUAACAAGCUCAUGUGGAGGGACCCAUGCUGAGCAUUCAGAUUUCCUGUGUGAUGUUGGAAGGGCAUCAGGCGCUGGGUACUGCACAACUCUCCCUGGUUUUCAAAUGACCCUCCAGCCCAUCUUGUCUACCAGCCAUCCAUAUAGAGAAACUGCCUUUGAAGCCCACUAAAGAUCUGAAUAAAUAUUUCAAUUCUUCUUAUCACUGGUAUAAGAACAGAUGACAAUUCCCUUCUUAGUCUUCAUGCUUGACUCACUCUUAGGCAAAAAUCACUGGAUCAUGUCAUAGGCUGAAAUUUGCCUUGCAAUCCAUGCAGUUUUAAUCUAUUUACAGUGGCAGGACUGGAUUUCCCCCCCCCAGCCAUGCCUGUCAAUGUCAGUGCACUGAUAUUUAGAUGUAUAUCUACCUAAAGCAUCGUCAAUUUGAAGAGGCAUUGGCUUUCGCCUAUAUGCGGACCACUGGAUUCACGAGUACAAUUUGGAAAUCAUUUGUACGUUAGACUAGGAAUGAUGAGGGCUUGAAGAGCUGAAGAAAACAAAAACUCACCAUUUAUACUGUGCAUGACUACUUAGGCAAAAGGUUUCUUAAUAGCAUAUACAUCAUUUCUUUCCAGCAAUAGUUUCCUGGAGGAUGGGAGGUGAGGUAUAGAUUAUGUGUCAAAGUGAAUAUACAGAUGUCACAAAUCACUGUGAUGCACCAUGAUUGUCUAAGUAUUCUAUAAGGAGAUAAAGUUUUUUUUCUGAAAAAUAUUACUAUGUAUGGUUUCCCUGGAAAGAUUAAGAACUUCAUGGACACAGAACGUUGGCUGCUCUCUGCCUUUUGAGAUACACCUUGAAAAGAUGGUAUAAGUGAACUGUGGACCACAGAUGAAGCAAUGUGUUUCAAAAGGGAUAUAUUAGAAAAAAGCAGAAGAGGAGAAUUUCAGAUCAGAACAAGAGUGCACUGCCCUCUUAUUGUAUAACUUUACAUAGUUUGGGUCAGGUAAUGUUACUAUUGGACUUGAUUUCAUUGCAUGCACAAAGUCAAACUCUUUUCUCUGUCAAAUCUGUGCUUUUCCAUUAAUAGAUGAGCAGGAAGAUCUGUAGCAAAGUGAAUGUUUGUAAGUACUAAACUCAGUUCAGAUGUAUGGUAAGGCUCAUCAUGGGAUGAAUGUGAAACCUCGUUAAGGUACAGCUCGCCUGUUAAUAACAAUGAGUCUCAAACAGUGUUGCGUGUUGAACACACAUGCAUAAUAAAAAAUUACAGAACAAAAUAUUGGGGGGCAUUUAAAUCAUACUGGAAAAUGUGUUAUCUUUAACAGCAUUUUAUAUCAAAUGAACCAUCAGAGGUAUAACUGAUGACAAAAUGUGGUAAGAUCGGGGCGAAUCAACUCCGUCUCUCUACCUAUCUAUUUUCACUCUCAUAAGCCAAAGUUUUUACAGGUCCAUCUUAGCCAGGUAGAGAAGUCAGGUUAAAAAACUGCUUUGUCUCACCACAAGUGUAUAAAACAGCUGAAUGAAAGUGGUUCUGUAAACAGAAGUAAAACAACAGAUGAGCUCAGCCUUCAAAUUACUGGGCUAUAAAGGAGUAAAUGAACAACGAUUUUAUUACUGAGAUUAUUGUAGAAUUCAGUCUAUAAAUUUUUUUAUUCUUGCUGACUUUAGAGAAAUAUGAAAAUACAUGACAAGAAAUCUAUAUAACUUCUGUAAGCUGAGAUUCGUAAUAAAUUAAUGUGGGUAUAAUGUGAAUGAGAAUCCCUAGCAUUACAUAUUCCUAGUGUAUAUCCAUUGAUGUUGUGCUUUGCUAUAAAUGUUUUUAAAAAGCAUUGGACUUGGAAGCUUAAUUAUUUAUUGAAUUAGGAUGUACUUACUAAAGUCUGUUGAGCUUGAGGCUGCCUGAAGUUUCCACAACAGAAAAGUGAUCCUAACAAUGAGUAAGUCAAGGUAACUAGAGUAACGUGAUAAAUCAGGCUAACUACAGCAGUGACUGUCUUCCUAGCAUGCUGCUGUUUGCUUAGUCAUUGCAAUCUCUUCUAAGAGAAGUCUGUGAUCCGUAUCAGGAUUUUCCAACUGAAAUCCUGUAUCAUAAGUACAUUGUUCAUGACACUGGAUUAACAGCACUGGCUUUGUACUGGCUUUUUGGUUCACCUUCCUACAAAAAUGUACUCUGUGAAAUAAUUUUAGAAACUUCUCUGCAAUACGUAUUUGAAAGGACACUUCACGUUAAAAUUGUAGUUAACUAUUUUUUUUUUAAGUUUUACUGCAAUGCAAUCAUAGCACGAGGAAGUCUUAAUGAAUUUGAUAAAGUCAUGUAAUUUGUGUUGCUUACGCCAUGUACUUCUGCAUAUAUUGCCUUUUGUGUAUUUAAAUGGUCAAUAAAAUCAACACAUUUGUAAUUUAAGUUCAAA